AAGCCGCACCUGCGCGUCGCCUCGUCGAGCUGCAGGUUCAAGCCGCACCUUCGCUGCAGGCGAGCCGUAGGUUCAAGCCGUCACCUGCGCGUCGCCUCGUCGAGCCGCAGGCUCAUCUACAGAUCCAACCCAACUCCUCCACCAUAUCUAUGAGGUGUCAUCGUCGUGGUGGAAAUCGCUGAGAAAUCGCUGAAGAAUUGUAGGUUGCUGAAUUGGGGUAGUAAAAAUUACUAAAUCACUCUACUCUUUAAUAUUUUGCCUCAGUUUUUAUUUUUUUUUCUAAUAUUUAAACGUUAAUAAAUGUAGGUCGGGUGGUGCACGGAAAGGGGCUUUUGCCACAGCAACGGGCUUUCUAUCUCAUUAUUUGGUUGCCACAAGAUUUUCAUUGAGAAGGAUAGGUGCCCAAGCUCGAAAAGAGAAGUGUUGACGGUGAGUUGACUAUGGACAAUGACUUCGCUUUUUAUUCCAACUACAAAUUUCAAAUAGCAAGUUUAAACAAUACUCUCAACACCCUGCCGCUAGGUGCGUGAUUAGAUCAAAUCAUAUGUAGUG